CAUCAGAACCGCCUGUCUGCACAUACAACGGUAUCGUACUCGGGGGUGAGGAACAAGGCGAAGCACCCCAGCCGCGAGACGCACGCCUCGAGCCACGACAACGGCAAACGAGGCUCUUAUCAGUGGCUCUCCUCCCCUCCAAGUCAAAACACGCACACACAAACAUAAAGAGGCGCCCAAAGCGAUCAUCACGUGCUCUACCUUUCACAACCUGCUUGCUCUACCUCAUCCCCCCCCCGCCGCCAACGGAAAACUCAUCUGCUUGCUUUUUGCUUGUUUGUUUUUGUGGUUCGCUCGCUCGUGCCUCCCGCUCACGCCCGCGUCCGCGUUCAUCAGCGUCAUGUCCGUCAGCAGCUCCCUCACCUACGCACUCCUGUGCGUCUACUACGCCUGCCGCACCACGCUGCUCUUCGCGGUGGAGAUGCUGCUGUUCCUGCCCUCUUACUAUCUUGUGGAACGGCAUGACGCACCGAGCGCGUGGCUGGGGCGCCGCGGAGAGGCGCAGGUGCAGCCGGUGCUAUCCGCAGCCUAUAAAUACCAGAAGGCGGAGGAGCGCGACAAGUCGAACUAUGGUGAGAGCGCGAACAUCGUACCGGUGGGCACAGGCGGACCGCCGCUGGACAUCAGCACGCGGGAAGUGGAAGAUAACCGCUGCAUUCUCUCGCGUAAGUGUGUGAGCCGCAUUCGAUCUCUUCACAUACCAACCGUGUCGUCGUCGUGGUGGUCGCCACAGGUGCUGCGUUCCGUGAACCCUUCCUCAGCCGCGCACUCCCCUGAAACGCCGCAGCUGCGUCAGAAGAAACAGCACCAGUCGCUCUUGCCCAACUUCUAUGGUCACCCGCAGGCGGCGCUUCCGCAAAGCCGAUACGAUGGCAUUGGUGGAGAUGACGACAUGAACGGCUCCGUGGGGUCGUGGUCCAACUACACAGUGGGCGCCACGCCAGUUGCGACCACCCUAAAUCGCCCCCUCUCUUUGUCCAUCGCAGAGGUGUCUGGUUGGUGCGACGGCACCUCAGGUGGCGAACUGAUUCCUAUCAGCCUCCACAGCAGCCCCAUGCAGCGGUCUCAGCGCCUUCAGUUGCAGCAAGUCUCUCACCAACGCCCGCACGGCGGUGGCGUUGACGAAGAGGACGCUGCUUGCACCAGCUUCAACGGGUUUCUGAGCGCCACUGCACGCGAUGCCGUGGAUAUCGGAUAUCAGCAACCAUGCGUGACGGACGCGUUCUUCGAUGGCCUGGCGGUGAGCGUGUUGGUCUCCGCUCAAGAACAGCAGCAGCAGGAUCGUCUCGCGGCGGCGCGCAAGCGCGUUGGCAUCGCCGAGGCGGAAGGCUUUUUCGCUAAGUUGGGUCACCGACAGUGUGGGGCUGUUUCACGAAGAGCCGCAGCUCGGACCUCGUCCGCACCGGCGUGUGUCGCUGCGGCUCGAGAGCGCAUGCGUGCCACGGUGCCGGUGUGGUGCACCGUCAUCUUCUACUCCCCCAUACCACAAUCGGCCGCCCGCGGAAGCGUGAUGGAGAAAGCGUCAUCGCCCUUUCGAGGCCAGUACGGAUUUUUGCCGCCUUGGUAUGCUGUUCACGCCCGCGCGCAGCUGUUGUUAGCGCUAGUGGGCCCGCUACUGCGCAUUGCGGCGGAGCUGCUGUGGUGCAGAGGUUGGGGAACGCUGACGGCAUCGUCUGCGGCGCAAACAGAGGCGUUAGGUGAGCCGGGUAGCAUUACCACACCUCCGGCAACGGCUGCGUCGCCCGAGCAUCAACGCCUGCGUCAGCAUCGCACCCGCGCCCCCCCACUACCUUCCUGGCCGGUGCGCGGAUCAUGGCAAGACGCCGGCGUCUUUCUUCUUGGGCCGCUUCUCUUGUGCUUCCGUGUACUGCGCAGCCUCUUUUACGCGAUCAUGGGCCCACCUGGUGCGACGGCACCGCUCCACUACUCGGCGUGCAUGAGCGCAUCGCCAACCUCGCACAACGCUGCUGGUGGCGGCGGUGUCUGGCAUCCUUUCCGCCGUUUCGAGAGUGCUGUGCAAGCUCGUAUUGAUCGCUACACCACGGACACGCGCCACAUCUUCGAGCCACUGCACAACAACGCGGCGGCGGCGACGACGACGGUAUCGUCUGCCGCGGCAACGGCCCACGCUGGAAGCAGCAUCAAUCCUGCACCGCAUGCUUUUUCGAAGCCGACGACGUCAAGCGCGAAGGCCGCUGGAGCGGCACGGUCACAGGGUCACGCAGCAUCCUUGCCUCAUCCCGCAUUCCCCGCCUCGGCACCUGCCCCGGCGUGCCGGAAGUCGGUGGGGGUGUACUGGCUGCAUGGCCGCCGGCCGCCGACCUGGUCCGCUGCUCCAGCUGAUGAUCCGUCCACCACAUCGGCAGUGCAGCCGCCGCCUCCUGCACCGGUGGUGGUGCUACUGCUAUGCCCUUCUCUCCUGCAAGGGAGCGGGCUGUACCAGCACACCGUAACGCGUCUCAGUUGUGUGUGUCAGCUGCUGACCCUCGCUGGUGCGUGGCAGUCAUCGUUCGCCACAGACGAUGCAGCGGCCGACCGCAUUUUGCUUCCCGGCUCGCAUGGCACGGCAAUGACGAGGAAUGCGACACAGAAUCGCGACGACUCGACGGAUAGAGAAAAUGCCGCGCAGAUCUCCGCGGCAGGCGCGGAGAAGGCGUACAAGCCUGUGAUGCUUAGUACCAGCAGCAGCAAAGACGGAAGCAUUCGUGGCAGCGGGGCGGAGGUCAACGACCAACCGUCGCCGCCGGCAACUUCGUCAUCGCUGCCGUCGGCUACACGGCCUGCCACCAGGCCCGCCACGCAGUGGUACGCGGCUGUGCCUGUUGUAGAGCUUCGAGUUCCUGCGACGUCGCCGGAGUGCACCGACGACGUCUCAAUGCCUCCGCUGACGCUGAAGGACUUGCGGAACAUUGUUGAGCGGCUGCGGAGCAACCUGGAGUCGUGCACGCCGCCCGCAACAAACCCCCCAGUGCCUUGCGCAUCUACCGCGGCCGGUCGUUCGGCUCGCCUCGAUCUGUGUGGUCACGCGCCGUCGCCAGACGCCGCUGCUAAGGCGUCCGCUGACCCUCGUCCACGACGGGCGGUGUACAUUGUGGCGGUGGGCUGGUCGGAAGCGGCGAGCCCGCUUUUGGAGCUAGCCAUCACACAGCAGCAGCCGCAGACGUCGACAGGCAGCGGCCGCAGCACCGAGGACGAGAAUGGCGGCGGCUCUGGUGAGCAGUCCCCGGCGCGUCUUGACGGCCUUGUGUGCAUCUCGCAUACGCUUUCGUCCGCCUUUCAGCUUCUCCCGCAGCAGCGUGCAGAGGGGCUGGCGCUUCAGCGGCCCACGCUGGCCACGUCAUCGUCGGCAAGAUCAACUCGAGGUGUGGCGCAUGCGGGCACCAGCACUGCGAGCAGCGGCGGGGCCUUGAACACCGCAGUCGCUCCUGCCGGCUCGUCCCCACUGCUGACGGCGAGGCUGCAGGCUGCGUCGCGCAUGCCGCGCAUCCUGUCGAGCCUCACCACCGGUCCGGCGCGACUGCUUGUCCUGCUGACACGGAUGCAGCUCAUCGCCGAUGCACUGCUCGCCCACCGGCAGCAUCAGGAGCAGUGGCAGGGCAACGGGCUGGCUGCUGUGGGCAACGCGAGGAUUCUACGAACAACGGGAGAGCUCCACUACGCAGAUAUGCACGCGCCAAGGCAACCCCAGUACAUGACCCACAAGCGAGCUGGCGCGCUGUCGUCGCAGGCGGGCCCCGCGCCAAUGCCUGACAUCUCCUUCUAUCACAUUCUCCAUGUUUUUCGUGAGGCUCGCGAGGAGGUGAACCGGGCACAGCGCGGCCUGGACAGAGCCACCAUCACGUGGACCCACCAGCGGCAGCAGCAGCAGUCCCGAUCGGCGCAACGAGGUUCCUUCCUCGACUGUAUCUCCUCCAUGGGCGCCGGCACCUUAUCUGCCCUCACGUCGAGAGCGACGGAAGGCGAUGUCGAGCCGUGCAUCACGCGCGCGGCAGCAGCAGCAGCACAGUACCACUCGCAACCGACGCUCUGGCAGUCGCACUCGCUGUCACCCUCACCUGCCUCCGCGCGUACAGCUUCCGUGCCGGGCUCGACGACGAAUGCGCUGCGGCAGCACGCCCUUAGUACAGCGCCUUUCUCUAAGCUCGUGCGCGUCAUCUCACCACCGGAUUUGGUCGCCUCGAUGCCUCUGAUGGCGUCGUUCAGUGAUGCGGCAGCUGUGAGCGACGCUUUAGGAGAGGCCAAUGCACUUGCUGCACCAACCGCCACCCCUCCUGGUAGAAGCGACUGUGUGCUGUGGUCGUUGACUGUCGACCAAGAUUCGCCGCCGUCGCAUGACCAGACGCAGACGCUUUCUUUUAGUCACCACUACAGCUACGGAUCGCCGUUGAUCAUGCACCAGGAUCUCGUGCGGGAGUCGUCGGCGCUGUGGGACAUGCCGCGCCUCGAGAGCGUCACCGACUGGGAGGAGCUGGCGAAGUCCGCGAUGAUGGCGGAGGCCCAGCAGCAGCAGCGUCUCGAGGCAGCAAACGCGACGGCGAAUGAUCUGCCCCCACCUCUUUCCCUCGACCCUCCGACGCUGCUCGACUGCAGUGGCCGGCGACGCUUUCUCUCCAUCGCAUGGGCGGAAGGGGAAGGGGAGCGGUUCUCAGCGAGCGGCUCCCUCGCUGCCGCAUCGUCUUCCUUCGUCGGCAACCCGCUGCGGCGCGCCUGCUCGCACAUGUCUACCGAAGAUGUAGUGGCCUCCUGUACGCUGCAGGUGCUGUCCCCGACGGCUAGGCAGGUGGCCCGCCUGCCUGGAAGCGGUGCUGUAGGAACCCCGCAAACGGCAGCCGCAACCCGAGGCGUUGCCUCUGCCUGCAACAGAGACAAGCGCAGCGGCCUUGUAAACCACGCCAAGGAAGCCAGUACCGCAGAUGGGGAGGGCGCCCUCCUUGUUGGCGCGGCUACGAUGAGGCCAAGCUUGUUGCACCCCGGUGUAACAAGUCGCCGCGAUUCCGAUGACAAAGGCGCGGCGCCGUCCUUCGCGAGCGAACAGCCCGCCAGUGAGGCGUUCUGCAGCUUCGACGCGACGCCGGCGCCAUCGGCUCUGGUUGCCGCCUCAGCCGACGGUGGCGCCGGCAACUUGUGUAUGGUAGGCGCAGAGGGUAAAGGGUGCAGCGCCGCGUCUCCGAAUGUGCUACCUUCCUUGAAGGAAGCAGCGUUGUGCGCCUCCGAAAGGUCAGUGAAGCCGUCGGUGUCGCGCUAUGAUCCACAGCACAGCUUGCCGCAGCCGUCGUUUUCCGCAUCGACGCCGCUGCCACAGCCGCAGCAGCCCAUACCAUACCCGCCACCUUCGCGGUUGCCGGCGCUCUCCUCGCAAGCUGCGGCGUUAGUGGAGUUGCGGGUGCGCUCGGCUCAGCACGCAGCCCUCAUUCAGCGCAUCCGCGUUCCAACGCUGCUCGUGCAUGCUAGCGAUGACCCCGUCGCCCCGACGUCGACGCUUCCCUUUUCGCUUCUGCAGGCAAACCCGUGGAUAACGACAGUGCUGACGCGGCGUGGCAGCCACGCCGUCUUCAUGGAGGGUGCCUCGGAGGUGUGGCGGCGGCCACGGUUGGUGGUGACGGAGCGGGCACGCCCAGCGGGCACGACGCUGCCCGCCUCUAGCGCUGCCGUGGCGGAGGGUAUGAUGUACUGGCCAGGCAGUGGAUUCGACGAGGUUGGCAGUGCUCGUGGCGCGAGGGACGGGCCCCACUGGAAAACGCCGUCGGCACCUUCGAGUCCACGCGGUGACAGGGUCGUGCCACCUCCGACGGCGGACACGAGCCGAAAAUCACCCGCGCUCAUGGCCGCUGCGCGUUCGAAAAUGCCGUCUCCUUGGGCACAGAAAGCAAAGGCGAAACGCGUGCGCGGCAACGGCACGAGCAGCUCUAGCACCAGCGUCAGCAACUCCUGCUGCACCGAUGACUUCGACGACGACGGCGACACCGUUUCCAGCGCUAUCGUUGAGUGGCUUCCUGUGAUAGACGAAGAUGCCGAUGUCAAGCGGCACACAGACAAACGUCAGUCCACCACAUCCCUGAGACGCCCGCCGAAAGAACAGCAAUGCCUGGCCGCUGCCACCACGUCGAUGUGGCAGGUUCGGAUCGAUGGUACAACGUGGCUGGAGCGGCUUCUUUUCGAGUACGUGGAAAAGGUUAUCGUGUGCCCGCCGGCGGCCUCCACCCCGAUCGGUUGAAGCGCGCACAGCGGGUGGUCGAAGUCCUAUCUGUGAUACCGUGCGCGUGUGCAAGGUGCGUGUGCGUGUGUGUGCGUGUUGGCUGGAGCGGGAGGGCCGCAGCCAUUUUCAUGGCACGCCUCCCCUCCCGUCUCGGUGCCGAUUCUGUUCUCUGUCCCUCAUCGGAAACGAAGCGCGUGCGCUGAGCACUCGGUCAUGUGCUGCAUACGCGUGACGCGCAAGUUCACGCAGCUGCACGGCGCAUACCUCUUGCUCUCUCUGUGUCUGUGUGCGUGGGAUUUAGCGAGAGGGGGGAAGGGCCACCUCUUCGACAUCUCUGCCGCUUCGCUUCUUCCACGCUCCUCUUCACCGCACCACGGCCGCGAACACUGUUCCGUCCUCAUCUCUCUUCUCUUGGCGAUUCUGUUAUUACGUCGCUGUAUAUCAUCCCCCCCCCACUCCCGCCCCUUCUGCGUCUCUUCUUCGCAG
rnacentral:misc_RNA from 1 species